CCACCCUGAACGCCCCCCGAUUUUGUCUGAUCUCAGAAGCUAAGCAGGGUCAGGCCUGGUUAGUACUUGGACUCAAUAAAUUUUUUAAAAAAAUCAAAUC
rnacentral:rRNA from 1 species